rnacentral:rRNA from 1 species
GAUGAACGCUAGCUACAGGCUUAACACAUGCAAGUCGAGGGGUAGCAGGGUAGCAAUACCGCUGACGACCGGCGCACGGGUGAGUAACACGUAUCCAACCUUCCCAUAACUCGGGGAUAGCCUUUCGAAAGAAAGAUUAAUACCCGAUAGUACUUUUUCAAGGCAUCUUGAAAAAGUUAAAGAUUUAUUGGUUAUGGAUGGGGAUGCGUUCCAUUAGAUAGUUGGUGAGGUAACGGCUCACCAAGUCUUCGAUGGAUAGGGGUUCUGAGAGGAAGGUCCCCAACAUUGGUACUGAGACACGGACCAAACUCCUACGGGACGCAGCAGUGUGGAAUAUUGGUCAAUGGGCGAGAGCCUGAACCCGCCAAGUAGCGUGAAGGAUGAAGGGCCUAUGGAUUGUAAACUUCUUUUAUAGUAGAAUAAAGUGAUCCACGUGUGGAUUUUUGUAUGUAUACUAUGAAUAAGGAUCGGCUAACUCCGUGCCAGCCGCCGCCGUAA